rnacentral:misc_RNA from 1 species
GGAACAGGAGGAACUCUGACAGGAAUCGCAAGGAAGAUCAAGGCCAGGUGUCCCAACUGUAAGGUGAUAGGAGUGGAUCCUCUAGGGUCUGUAAUCGCAGAGCCAGAAUCUCUUAACAAAACUGACGUCACGUUCUAUGAAGUGGAAGGAGUGGGCUAUGAUUUUAUACCUACAGUGUGUGACAGAAAGCUGGUAGAUAAAUGGUAUAAAUCCGAUGACAAGGAGUCCUUCAUCAUGGCUCGCCGCAUGAUUCGACAGGAAGGCCUAUUGUGUGGUGGAAGCUCUGGCUCUGCCAUGGCUAAUGCUCUGAAGGCAAUCAAAGACUUUGGGAUGAAAGCAGGCCAGAAAUGUGUGGUGAUACUACCUGACUCCAUCAGAAACUACAUGACAAAGUUUCUCAGCGAUGAUUGGAUGAGUCAGAGGAAUUUUCUGGAAUCCACCAAAGUAUCAGGAAAAUCCAAUGAGUGGUGGUCCUCCUUACAUGUGAGUGCCUUGCAAUUAAGAGCUCCCUUGACUGUGACUCCAACAGUCACAAUCCAAGAGACACUUGAAAUUCUGAACAAAGAAGGAUUUGAUCAGGUGCCAGUGGUUAACGAUGCGGGGGACAUAUUGGGCAUGAUUACUGUUGGCAAUAUGAUGGCUCAGGUUGUAAGGUCAAAGGUUAAACCCUCUGACCCAGUGUCAAAAGCCAUGUACAAACAGUUUAAGAUGGUGUCCAUGGCAACAAGUCUAGGAGAAAUAUCCAGGAUGUUGGACACUGACCACUUUGUGUUGGUUGUUCAUGGACAAAGACAAUAUGAAGGCAAUAACUUUGUUUCAAAGAAACAGAUGAUUUUUGGCAUUGCUACCAGGAUAGAUCUGUUGAACUUUAUCACUCAACAUCAGUCGCUGGAGGACCAGUAAAGGGAACACAGGAGGACCAGUAAUGGGAACAGUGCCCAGAGACUUUGAUUGGACCACAGUUCGUUGUCUAUACAGAACUGCAACAUAUCCCUAUGUUAUAGCAUAAUAAAUGAAAAAUCUCUCUUUGUUCAUUAAAUGGUAUAUAUAGUAGUUUGCAUUGUGUAGAUAUAUAUUUUUGGAAUAAACAAUGUCACUUUUUGUUUGCAUACAACAAUGUGCGUCACAAAUUAGAAACGUUUUGAGACACUCUUGAUCAGCUUUAUUCAAGUAUCACAGCUAGUGCAUUUUAAAGGUUUUCAUUAGCAUGUCAUUGGCAUAUUUGUAUAAUUGAAGUAUGUCUCAAUUUUGUAUACCAAGCUUAUUUUGCCAGCUUUAAUCUCACUUGUUGUGGCUAAACAUAUAGCAUAUAACUUAUCAUUUCUAGUUACACACUAUAUAAAACUGUAUAAAAUGCACUUUCAUUGUUUUCAUAUUUUCAGGGAAAACUUGACUUCAUUCUAACAAAGUAGAAAUAUUUAAUGGAAUGAUAUGAUAUUUUUAUUCAAAAUUAUUACUCUUAAUCUCUGAGUCCUAGAAUGCAAGGUUCUUUUUAAUUUAUUUGGUAUUGUUUUUUAAGAUUAUUUAUAUAAUCUGUAUGGAAAUUUCCACAAAUUGUUAUUCCUUCAUAUAAUUAGCAAAACAUACAUGUUUUUUCUAAGACAUUUUCAUUAUGUUUACUUUUGUGUUUGUAAUCUUGGUAAUUACAAUUUGUGCAGAAAAUAGAAGUAUUUAACAAUCUGUGUGAUCAAAGGUUUUGCCGAUAUCUGAUGUUUGGUUGGGGUGAUAAGAUUAGCUCUAACUUAUUAAGUUCUUGUUGGUUUCUAUUAAAAUUGUCUAUCUUUAAAUAAAUGAAAAUUAUGAAAUUUU